rnacentral:rRNA from 1 species
UGGGGAAUAUUGGGCAAUGGGCGCAAGCCUGACCCAGCAACGCCGCGUGAAGGAAGAAGGCCCUCGGGUUGUAAACUUCUUUUAUUCGGGACGAAGAAGUGACGGUACCGAAUGAAUAAGCCACGGCUAACUACGUGCCAGCAGCCGCGGUAAUACGUAGGUGGCAAGCGUUAUCCGGAUUUACUGGGUGUAAAGGGCGUGUAGGCGGGACUGCAAGUCAGAUGUGAAAACCAUGGGCUCAACCCAUGGCCUGCAUUUGAAACUGUAGUUCUUGAGUGAUGGAGAGGCAGGCGGAAUUCCGUGUGUAGCGGUGAAAUGCGUAGAUAUACGGAGGAACACCAGUGGCGAAGGCGGCCUGCUGGACAUUAACUGACGCUGAGGCGCGAAAGCGUGGGGAGCAAACAGGAUUAGAUACCC